rnacentral:rRNA from 1 species
UUGAAUUAAAAUAAAAUUUCAGAUAGAAUUUUCCCGAAAUAAAAAGAGCUAACCAUAAUUUCUCCUGGAGAUUAUAUUAUUUAAUUUCAAAUAGUGUGGCAAAACUAUUAUUAAAGUCAUGGUUAGGAGUGAAAGGCUUCUCACUUUUUCUGAUAUCUGGAUUAGAUCAAAAAAUAUUUAGUAUUAUUUAAGACAUCCUUGUAGUUAUAAGAUUAUGAGGAAGAAAAAUAUUUCUUUUUAUCUAUUUUUGGCUUAAUAAACUAAAGUCGAAGAUGAGGCAUAAAGAUUAAUGUGAAGUUACCUUUUAAUGUCUAGAUCUAUAAAUUUUUAUAUACAAUACUUAAUUAUUUAGAUAAUGUUUAAAUGAGUAUAGACUCUUAAAAAUAAUUAAGGAACUCGGCAAAAAGUGCUCUCAACUGUUUAACAAAAACAUAGCUAGAUGAAUAUUUUCCUCAUAUUUAGUAACUUCUGCCCGGUGAAAUCUUUUAACGGCCGCAGUACACUGACUGUGCAAAGGUAGCAUAAUAAUUUGGCUUUUAAAUGAAGUCGGGAAUGAAUGAAGUAAUAUGGGAGUAAGCUGUCUUAUUUAUUUUUUCUAAAACUUACUUAAAGAAGUGAAAAAUCUUCUAUUUUAAUAAAAGACGAGAAGACCCUAUAAAUUUUUUUAUAAAAAAGGGAUUUAAUUCUCUUUCCAUUUUUGUUGGGGCAACAAUUUACCAGGAUUAGAGAAAAAGUAAUUAAAGAAGGGAAUAAUAUAGAACGAAUAAUAUUAAUAAUAGAUAAAUUACUUUAGGGAUAACAGCAUAAUUAUUCAUAUAUAGUUUGUGACCUCGAUGUUGGAUUAGGGGAUAAUUAAAUCAGUAAUUUAAUUAGAAAAGUUCUGUUCGAACUACUCCUCCCU